CCCCCGAUAGCUCAGUUGGAAGAGCGCGAGACUGUAAUGGAAAGACGAAGAUCAUCUUGAGGUCGCUGGUUCGAUCCCGGCUCGGGGGA
rnacentral:tRNA from 1 species